GCAAAGGGGAAGAACACAAUGGCUUUCAGCAGCCGGAAGCCUUGGUUUUUAGUUUCUGUCUCUAGUGAUAGGUGGAAAAGAAGGAUGAGGAAGGGGCUUUACUGGGCCAACCAGAAGCAGUAACUAAGCACCCAUGACUGUAUUCUCUCCCUUGGACACCCCUGGGAAGCUCUAUACUGGGAGAAUGCCAUGUGAAAGUGAAGGUUGACGUUACACUGCCACAGGAGUUCCCAGGAGCUGGAAGAGAGGCCUACAACAGAUCCUUCUGUGCCUUCAGAGGAAGCGUGGCUCUGCC